GUGGGGAUCGGGUUAGAGGAGGGGAAGGGGAACGGGAUAUGGGUUGAGUUAGGGUUUGUGGGAUUGGACAGAUUUAGGGAUUUUUGGUUAUGUUGUUAAAUCUGGGGCUAAUAUCUUACUCUGUUUUGUAUUUGCCUCUCCUUUUUCGAUUCCACAUGGUUUCCCCCCUCCUUCUGUGUAUUCUCAAAGUAACACAGGUGCAAGAUUUGAAGUUUAUCUACCUAACUUAGGUGGAUAUAAUGGAAUCAGCGUAAAGGACAUGGGAAAGAGAGAAGAGAAAAGGGCUAAUAUCGGAGAGAAGUCGGUUGAACUUUGUAGGGAGCUCCAGACUGCUUUAGGCACUGCAAAAUGGCAGAAAGAGAAAUAAUAAGGUACACCAAAAGAAAAAGGGUCCAAACCACUAAAGCAAAAAAUGAACAAAAGGUUGCACAAUUCGUGAAACAACAUUCACAUUCAUAGGAGGAGCGCAAUGUAUCGUGCAACGGCGGCAACUUUAGCUGAUUUGGAUGUUGUUGGUCUAAUAAAAUAUGGGUGUCGGGACAACUACUGUAAGCAACAGGUGUGUGUAACAUUCCUAGAGAUAACAUUAGGCCGUCUCUUAUUCUCUUUUCUAAACCUUCCACCUUGGUAUGGCUCGUCUAAUGUGGAAAUGGUUUCAUAAAUGACUUGAAGAUGUUCUAAGAAGGAAACUGCCAGUAGUAGCAUUAGUUGUUGGUCACUAAUUUUAGGGUGAGAUAAAAUUUCAAUGGUCAUCCGCAUAUAUUUUGAGAGUACUGUGACAUUAGAAGGACCAGC